rnacentral:rRNA from 1 species
UACGAAGGGUGCAAGCGUUACUCGGAAUUACUGGGCGUAAAGCGUGCGUAGGUGGUUCGUUAAGUCUGAUGUGAAAGCCCUGGGCUCAACCUGGGAAUGGCAUUGGAAACUGGCGGACUGGAGUGCGGUAGAGGGUAGCGGAAUUCCCGGUGUAGCAGUGAAAUGCGUAGAGAUCGGGAGGAACAUCCGUGGCGAAGGCGGCUACCUGGACCAGCACUGACACUGAGGCACGAAAGCGUGGGGAGCAAACAGG